AUCCAGUUGACGAGUCCCAAAUAAGACGAAUUGUUCAUCCUGGAU
rnacentral:hammerhead_ribozyme from 1 species